rnacentral:rRNA from 1 species
CCUACGGGCGGCAGCAGUGGGGAAUAUUGGACAAUGGGGGGAACCCUGAUCCAGCCAUGCCGCGUGUGUGAAGAAGGCCCUCGGGUUGUAAAGCACUUUCAGUGAGGAAGAACGCCUGGUGGUUAAUACCCAUCAGGAAAGACAUCACUCACAGAAGAAGCACCGGCUAACUCCGUGCCAGCAGCCGCGGUAAUACGGAGGGUGCGAGCGUUAAUCGGAAUUACUGGGCGUAAAGCGCGCGUAGGUGGCUUGAUAAGCCGGUUGUGAAAGCCCCGGGCUCAACCUGGGAACGGCAUCCGGAACUGUCAAGCUAGAGUGCAGGAGAGGAAGGUAGAAUCCCCGGUGUAGCGGUGAAAUGCGUAGAGAUCGGGAGGAAUACCAGUGGCGAAGGCGGCCUUCUGGACUGACACUGACACUGAGGUGCGAAAGCGUGGGUAGCAAACAGGAUUAGAUACCCUUGUAGUC